GGGGGUGUUUUGGAUUCGACGGUGAGAUGGAUCGGACGUGUAAGCAUACCGCAGGCUCGGCUGCGUUAAAAACGGGAAAAAAAAUUAAAUGCAGAUAAAUCUGAAAGAGCUUCCUUCGGGAAACUCGCCCUUGCAGCUUAAUUAAUUAGUUGCUCGUCGACCUUGUGUUACCGUUCCGCAAGUAAUCGGCGUCAUACAGAAUGGCCACUCUUGCGAAAUCGCCCGGUAUUGCAAGAAAAUUACGGGCUUGUUGAACGGCAGGAUUGUCCGUGUUCCCGCCUAAGAGACCUCUAAACAUCGACUAAGUAUGUAGAAAGCCGCCUAGUUUGCUUAUCGGACCGGGGUUCAAACCCCCGCACCUCCACCA
rnacentral:tmRNA from 1 species